rnacentral:rRNA from 1 species
AUUGAACGCUGGCGGCAUGCCUUACACAUGCAAGUCGAACGGUAACAGGUCUUCGGAUGCUGACGAGUGGCGAACGGGUGAGUAAUGCAUCGGAACGUGCCCAGUAGUGGGGGAUAGCCCGGCGAAAGCCGGAUUAAUACCGCAUACGACCUGAGGGUGAAAGGGGGGGAUCGCAAGACCUCUCGCUAUUGGAGCGGCCGAUGUCAGAUUAGCUAGUUGGUGGGGUAAAGGCCUACCAAGGCAACGAUCUGUAGUUGGUCUGAGUGGACGACCAGCCACACUGGGACUGAGACACGGCCCAGACUCCUACGGGAGGCAGCAGUGGGGAAUUUUGGACAAUGGGCGCAAGCCUGAUCCAGCAAUGCCGCGUGCAGGAAGAAGGCCUUCGGGUUGUAAACUGCUUUUGUCAGGGAAGAAAUCUUCUGGGUUAAUACCUCGGGAGGGUGACGGUACCUGAAGAAUAAGCACCGGCUAACUACGUGCCAGCCGCCGCGGUAAAAC